AGUUGCUGCUGGACAUGCUAGAAAUUGAGGUUCUGUUUGUGCAUGGUGUUUAUUGCAGAGAAUGGAGGUAGGGUGGUGUAUCUCGUAGAUAUUCAAAAAUUGUGUCCUAUUACGGGCUCACAACUCCGCCAUAUAAAGUGGAUGCUCUGGAACCUUAUAUGAGCAGGAGAACAGUUGCACUUCAUUGGGGUAAACACCAUCGGGAUUAUGUGGAGGGCUUAAAUAAGCAGCUUGCUAGCAGCCCCCUGUAUGGAUACACUCUGGAGGACCUGAUAAAAGAAGCACACAACAAUCGCAAUCCAUUACCAGAAUAUAAUAAUGCAGCACAGGUCUGGAAUGAACCAUCACUUCUUCUGGGAAUCAAUGCAACCAGAAGGUGGCGGCUUACCAUCAGAUUGAAAAGGAUUUUGGCCCGUUUACUAAUUUCAGGGAAGACUUUAUUUCCUAAGCCUUACAACUAUUGGGGUCUGGUUGGGUUUGGCUUGUCUUGAGGAGAAAUGAGAGAAAGCUUUCAGUAGUUCAUACACGAAAUGCCAUCUCCCCUCUUGCUUUUGGCGAUAUUCCAAUUGCCAGCCUAGACUUAUGGGAGGUAAGGACAUUGACUCCAAGUUUUUAGAUCCUACUUUGUGCCAUAUACUGACAUUUGUCCUUUUCUGUUCACCUCUCUUUUUUGUGUACUUGUUCAGCAAAUUAGUUCUAAAAAAUUUAGCAGAAAACAUCUGUGGUGCUUCCUUUGCAACUUUGCAGGAUGAUAAGCUAAUAUAUAUUACAAAGUUUAUGGACCAUCUCAUCUCUUGGGACACUGUCACUCUGCGCAUGAUGCGUGCUGAGUCUUUU